GGAUUCCUUUAGUAGCGGCGAGCGAAGCGGGAAGAGCCCAUCGCCGAAUCCCCGGCGGCGCAAGUCGGUCGAGGGAAAUGUGGCGUGAGGAAGUCGGUCUCCGCGGUCGGUUCGUCGGCGCCGAGGUCCUUCUGAUCGAGGCCUCCGCGCGUCCCAGGGCGGGUGUCAGGCCCCUUCGGGCGCCGUCCGGCCGCGGAAUUCGGAUGGCUUCCGGGAGUCGGGUUGUUCUGUAUUGCAGCCCCAAGGCGGGUGGUAAACUCCAUCCAAGGCUAAAUACCGGCACGAGACCGAUAGCGAACAAGUACCNUG
rnacentral:rRNA from 1 species